AUUGAACGCUGGCGGCAGGCUUAACACAUGCAAGUCGAACGAGUGGCGGACGGGAUGGUAAUGAAUGGGACUCUAGCUGAUGGAUGGGGAUAGCUACGGGGAACUGUAGCUAAUACCGCCUACCAUAGGAUGAGCCCAAGUGGGAUGAGGUAGUUGGUGAGGUAAAGGAUCACCAAGACGACGAUCUGUAGCUGGUCGGAGAGGAUGACCAGCCACACUGGGACUGAGACACGGUCCAGACUCCUACGGGAGGCAGCAGUGGGGAAUAUUGCGCAAUGGGGGAAAGCUGACGCAGCCAUGCCGCGUGAAUGAAGAAGGCCUUCGGGUUGUAAAGUUCUUUCAGUAGGGAGGCGUUAACAACAGAAGAAGCACCGGCUAACUCCGUGCCAGCAGCCGCGGUAAUUC
rnacentral:rRNA from 1 species